rnacentral:rRNA from 1 species
ACCAGUAGUUAUAUGCUUGUCUCAAAGAUUAAGCCAUGCAUAAGUAUGAACUAAUUCAGACUGUGAAACUACAAAUGGCUCAUUAAAUCAGUUAUUGUUUGUUUGAUGGUAUCUACUACUCAGAUAACCAUAAUAAUUCUAAAGCUAAUACAUGUAGCAAACCCCGACUUCUAGAGGGAUGCAUUUAUUAGAUAAAAGGUUGACGUAGGCUAUGCCCGUUGCUCUGAUGAUUCAUGAUAACUCGACGGAUCGCAUAGCCUUUGUGCCGAUGACGCAUCAUUCAAAUUUUUGCCCUAUCAACUUUCGAUGGUAGGAUAGUGGCCUACUAUGGUGGUGAUGGGUAACAGAGAAUUAGGGUUUGAUUUCGGAGGGGAAGCCUGAGAAACGGCUACCACAUCCAAAGAAGGCAGCAGGUGCACAAAUUACCCAAUCCUGACAUAGGGAGGUAGUGAUAAUAAAUAACAAUACCAAGCUCUAUGAGUUUGAUAAUUAGAAUGAGUACAAUCUAAAUCUCUUAACGAGGAUCCAUUAGAGGGUAAGUCUGGUGCCAGCAGCCAUGGUAAUUCCAGCUCCAAUAGCAUAUAUUUAAGUUGUUAUAGUUAAAAAGUUCAUAGUUGGAACUAGGGUUGGGUCAUCCAAUCCGUCUCACGGUUAGCAUCGAUUUACUUGUCCCUACUGUCGAUAAUGCGUUCCUAGACUUAAUUACCCGGGUCAAUCCUCUAGUGCUGUUACUUUGAAGAAAUUAGAGUGCUCAAAGCAGGCCUACGCUUGUAUACAUUAGCAUGGGAUAACAUCAUAGGAUUUCAGUCUUAUUGUGUUGGCCUUCGAGAUUGGAGUAAUGAUUAAUAAGGACAGUCAGGGCCAUUCGUAUUUCAUAGUCAGAGGAGAAAUUCUUGGAUUUAUGAAAGACGAACAACUGCGAAAGCAAUUGCCAAGGAUGUUUUCAUUAAUCAAGAAUGAAAGUUGAAGGCUUGAAGACAAUCAGAUAUCGUCUUAGUCUCAACCAUAAAUGAUGCCAACCAGGGAUUGACAGAUGUUAAUUUUAGGACUCCGUCGGCACCUUCUGAGAAAUUAAACUCUUUGGGUUUUGGGGGAAGUAUGGUCACAAGGCUGAAACAUAAAGGAAUUGAUGAAAGGGCACCACCAGGAGUGGAGCCUGCGGCUUAAUUUGACUUAACACAGGGAAACUUACCAGGUCCAGACAUAGUAAGGAUUGAUAAACUGAGAGCUCUUUCUUGAUUCUAUGGGUGGUGGUGCAUGGCCGUUCGUAGUUAGUGGAGCGAUUUAUCUGGUUAAUUCCAUUAAUGAACGAGACCUCAGCCUGCUAACUAGCUAUGUGGAGGUGAUCCUUCGUGGCUAGCUUCUUAGAAGGACUAUGGCCGCUUAGGCCAAGGAAGUUUGAGGCAAUAAUAGGUUUGUGAUGCCCUUAGAUGUUUUGGGCCGCACGUGCGCUACACUGAUGUAUUCAAUGAGUCUAUAGCCUUGGUCGAUAGGCCUCGAUAAUUUUUGAAAUUUCAUCUUGAUGGGGAUAGAUCAUUGUAAUUGUUGGUUUUCAAUGAGGAAUUCCUAGUAAGCGUGAGUCAUCAGCUCACGUUGACUACAUCCCUACCCUUUGAACACAUCGCCCGUCACUCCUACCGAUAGAAUGGUCCGGUGAAGUGUUUGGAUCGUAACGAUGUAGACGGUUCAUCAUCCAUGAUGUCAUGAGAAGUCCACUGAACCUUAUCAUUUAGAGGAAGGAAAAGUCGUAACAAGGUUUUUGUAGGUGAACCUACAGAAG